rnacentral:rRNA from 1 species
AUGGAGAAGGUCUUCUGGUCUCAGUAUGCUGAGGCCGAACAUCCGGUGCCCCUUAGCGACCAGCUGAAGCAGCUGGUCGAGCUCCACAAGGCGGCCGAACAGGCCAUGAAGGGCCUCAUAGUUCGGCUGUGGCCUAAGGAGGCUAUACCUGGGAGCUACUUCGGCCUGGUGCGGCGGCUGGUGGACGCAUGCCCGUGGGUUGAAGUUAUCAAGCACUCCGCCUGUAUCAAGGGUGCGCGUCGGGCCCUUGCCCGCGCAAAGGUGCACUGGGGCAAGAUGGAUGCCCAGAAGCUUGUGACGGAACCACCACCAGAGGGCAAGGAGCAUCGCACGCCCGAGAUGUAUUAUAGGAGUGUGCUGAAGGGCGCCCGCAUUAUUGCGGGUGAGUGCUCCAAAGAAGAAGUUUUUGAGUAG